GCGCCUCCCGGGUCCGAGCCCCCCGGCCCCAGACCUGCCGCGGGUUUCAUGCCCAGCGACCCCGGCAGCGGAUGGGUUAAUUCCCUUCUGAGGCUGCAGACCCCGCUGGGGGGUGGGGGCUGGUGCGGGCCCGGGUCGUUCCGGAGGACGAUUCGUGCCCGGGAUCCCGGCGGAAGCCCCCGCGAGCCCCGGGGCCGCAGGCCGGCACGUCGGGACACGUUCCCGCGAAGGGACGCGGCGGCGGCGGGAGCCCGCAUCCCCCCACGCCCCCACCAGCGAGGAUGCGCGGGCGGGAGGCCCAGCAACUUUCUGCGAGGCGUCCGGAAAACAUACAGUCCUCCAGUGAAGAUGACUCAGCCGUGCCAGGUCUCCUGGGGAGGAAUUCCUUCAAAAUCACUGGCUUUGAGGGAUGAUUAAGGACACGAUAGCAUGAAGAGUCAAGUGUCAUCUAAAGAUAUGUUCAUUUGCAGAUAUGGGCUUAGCGCUUGCUAUGCAAAAAUCCAGCAGAGAAUUUCCAGGUAGUAUCGGUAGCAUACUGUUUCACUCUGCAUUUCUUCCAUUUGGAACUCCAUAAGG